UUGAGUACAAAACUCUUUGGUCAACUGGCCUCUUAUUCCCUUAUUCCCAAGUCUGUAGAACCAUUGACCACAUUUUGAUUUGCUUAUAAGUGAACUGGUGGGAUCCUGGUGGUGUAGACAAAUAAGUGAACUACAAUCCAAAAUUGAGGAGCUGGGUGACAAAGUGGAGGAAUUCAAUCAGUCCAAGUUCCUGCUUAAGAUGAUACAUCUGGAGAAGUCUCUGGACAAAAUCGAGCAUCUCGAUGAUAGUUUGCAGUUUCUUCAUUCAAGAGAGAUUUGGUAGACUCGGUGCUGGGUAUGAUCCUUGCACAGCGGAGCACUCCACUAUUACUAUAUACUUCAAUCUACCUGAGGUCCAAAGGAUUCUUCAUGUUAGUCCAAAUCAUAAGCCUGCUAAAUGGAAGGCCUGCAGGAGGAAUAUUCUAAUGCUUUGGAAGUGAUUUAUCCAUUAAUAUGGGCUAUAUGGAAGCGAGGCUGUAGGAAGGUGUUUCAGAACAAACACUGGAGGUGGCUCGGUCCAAUAUUUUUAGGCCGAAUAGAUUUGAUUUUAUAUGGAGGGAUUAUCAUGGUGAAGUACCUUGCUGCAAUUCCUUAUUCAACGCAAAU